UGCGCAUUCGCCAAGCGGUAAGGCACAGCACUUUGAUUGCUGGAUUCCGGGGUUCGAAUCCCCGAUGCGUAG
rnacentral:tRNA from 1 species